rnacentral:rRNA from 1 species
ACGACGCUGGCGGCGUGCCUAAUACAUGCAAGUCGAACGGUCUUUUCUAUGGAAGCUUGCUUCCACUGAGAAGAUAGUGGCGAACGGGUGAGUAACACGUGGGUAACCUGCCCAUAAGAGGGGGAUAACAUCCGGAAACGGGUGCUAAUACCGCAUAGUUUUUCUUGAUCGCAUGAUUGAGAAAGGAAAGACGGCCUUUGUGCUGUCGCUUAUGGAUGGACCCGCGGCGUAUUAGUUAGUUGGUGAGGUAACGGCUCACCAAGACGAUGAUACGUAGCCGACCUGAGAGGGUGAUCGGCCACAUUGGGACUGAGACACGGCCCAAACUCCUACGGGAGGCAGCAGUAGGGAAUCUUCCGCAAUGGACGAAAGUCUGACGGAGCAACGCCGCGUGAGUGAAGAAGGUUUUUCGGAUCGUAAAACUCUGUUGUCAGAGAAGAACAAGUUGGAGAGUAACUGCUCCAGCCUUGACGGUAUCUGACCAGAAAGCCACGGCUAACUACGUGCCAGCAGCAGC